UGCUUUAUAUCUUAAGGAGUCAUUUAUUUCAAUCAUGAAGACACCUGGAAGCUACAGGAAUCUCAUCUAACUUUGUUGCAGUACUGAUUGCUAUCAACAGUUUGCUAUAUUUUUACCUGCAUUUCCUGUUUGUUUAUAAAAAGGCUAAGUGACAGCCUCAUUCAUUUUAAAAUUUUGUUAUCAGGAACAGUAUUUGUAUUUAAUGCUGUCUUAGAAUUAAAGAAAUGUUUGCUUAUUGGAUAUGUGUCUUAGUUUAAUAAUAAGAGUAUUAUAAGUUUGCAAGGAGAACAUGUACUUGCUUUCUUCAGGCACAUUGAAGUCUCUAUAAUAUUUCCUAUAUAGUUAGUUUAUGAAUUUAUAUAUGUGAUUCAUAAUAUAUAGAUGAUCAGAAAAUUAAACAUUUGAUUUUUUUCUCUAGGCAUCACUGUCUUCACAGAAAUAAUAUAUUCUUCAUUUGAAAUUUCUUUAACCCUUUGAGCCAUUUUAUGUUACAUAUUUAUCCCUCUUGGAUUGGCCAAAUACCUCACUGAUUUUAUCUUUCUUGUGCUAUUUAAUAGGAAGCUCUUGAUAUUUCUCAUAUGAUGUUGGGCACUGGUUACUUUAAUGAUUGUUUUGUUAAACAACCCAUACCUUGGAGAAUAAAGUGAAAGCUGAACUUGCUAAUUUUUUCUAAUUAUUUAACCUAUAUUAUCCUAAAUAUAGCAGACAUGAGAAUAAUCCUUUGGAGGUUAUCAGAGACUCUUUGAGCAUCAUAUUUCCUUUCAUGAAAUGGCCCUUCAAAUAUGCACUUGGCAUU
rnacentral:lncRNA from 1 species